rnacentral:rRNA from 1 species
GUGACAUACCACUUGUUGCCUCGGCGGAUCAGCCCGCUCCCGGUAAAACGGGACGGCCCGCCAGAGGACCCCUAAACUCUGUUUCUAUAUGUAACUUCUGAGUAAAACCAUAAAUAAAUCAAAACUUUCAACAACGGAUCUCUUGGUUCUGGCAUCGAUGAAGAACGCAGCAAAAUGCGAUAAGUAAUGUGAAUUGCAGAAUUCAGUGAAUCAUCGAAUCUUUGAACGCACAUUGCGCCCGCCAGUAUUCUGGCGGGCAUGCCUGUUCGAGCGUCAUUUCAACCCUCAAGCACAGCUUGGUGUUGGGACUCGCGUUAAUUCGCGUUCCUCAAAUUGAUUGGCGGUCACGUCGAGCUUCCAUAGCGUAGUAGUAAAACCCUCGUUACUGGUAAUCGUCGCGGCCACGCCGUUAAACCCCAACUUCUGAAUGUUGACCUCGGAUCAGGUAGGAAUACCCGCUGAACUUAAGCAUAUCAAUAAG